GGGUCAGUAGGUUGGUCGUGCCACCGGUACGUACUGGUCUCACUGAUUCCUCCUUCCUGAAGAACCGUAAUGCCAUUAAUUUGGUGUUGCGGGGAAACAGGACUGUUACUUUGGAAAAAUUAGAGUGUUUAAAGCAGGCUAACGCUUGAAUACAUUAGCAUGGAAUAAUGAAAUAGGACGAUCGAUCCUAUUUUGUUGGUUUCUAGGAUUGACGUA
rnacentral:rRNA from 1 species